rnacentral:rRNA from 1 species
ACGAACGCUGGCGGCAUGCCUCACACAUGCCAGUCGAACGAGACCUUCGGGUCUAGUGGCGCACGGGUGCGUCACGCGUGGGAACCUGCCCUUAGGUUCGGAAUAACUCCCCGAAAGGGGUGCUAAUACCGGAUAAUGUCUUCGGACCAAAGAUUUAUCGCCUUUGGAUGGGCCCGCGUUGGAUUAGCUAGUUGGUAGGGUAAAAGCCUACCAAGGCGACGAUCCAUAGCUGGUCUGAGAGGAUGAUCAGCCACACUGGGACUGAGACACGGCCCAGACUCCUACGGGAGGCAGCAGUGGGGAAUAUUGGACAAUGGGCGAAAGCCUGAUCCAGCAAUGCCGCGUGAGUGAUGGAGGCCUUAGGGUUGUAAAGCUCUUUUACCCGGGAUGAUAAUGACAGUACCGGGAGAAUAAGCUCCGGCUAACUCCGUG